AUGAUAAAACUGACAUAUUUUAACUAGUGAUACAGUAAAUAUGAACCAUAGUUGUUUACCAAUUGUUUAUAUAAUUUGGAUGUAAAUAAGCUUGAGUAAAACCAUAUAUAAUCAAAUCAUAAGUUUACUUCAAUACAUAAAAUGUAUAUUGUGGUAUAAGGACAAAUCCUGUAUCCUUAAAGUUAUAAGGAAGGAUAUAUUCAUAUACAAAAAAUCGGGAACACUAUUUAAAAGCAUUAGAAAGUACAAAGGCAUUUGACCCAACAAGAACUGGAGGAAUUCCAGGGAUGAAUUAUGUAGGUUAUAGGAAGGAUAAGACUUCUGGAAGAGGCCUGGUAGAUUUCAUAAAAUUAGAAUAUACAAGGAAAACUUCAUUGCAGUGACAUGGCCACUCUUAAUAAACUAAGUGAAAUUUAAAAGCUAUAAAGAUCCUAAGGUUAAAAAAAAAAAAAAGCUUAUGAAUGUACUUCGUAUGAUACUUGAAAUCCAAACUUAUUCAUAAAAUGUUAGUCUAUUGUCUUUAUUGAUGAUGCUAAAAUAACCAAACUAUUACUUCAUACUUCACAAUAUUUAAAAACAUAGAUUGGAUAAUUUUAGUGUCUCGUUUUUAUAGAUGCUAACUGCAAAACUACUUUCAAAAAUCUCUUAAGUAGUGGGCAGUAUAAACACAUUUGAUUUUCAAAUUAAAAUGGAUAAACUUUUCCAUUUACAAGUUAGUACAAAAUGCUUAAGUUCUUGAAGAUCCAGGUUUCUUUGGGAAAGAGUAGUAAACAUGAAAUAAGCAGUACAUGGACAUAAUUAAUCCUAAAAAUGCAUUUUAUUAGUUGUCAUACAAUAAUAUUCCUCAAAUAAAAUAAUUUUACAUACUUCCCUCAUUCUUCUAUUAAUUUAUUUUUUCAUUUUUUAAGAAUUAUUUAUUUAUUUAUUUUUUAUGGCCACAUUCAUGGCAUAUGAAGGUUCCCAGGUUAGGAGUCAAAUUGGAGCUAUAGCUGCUGACCUAUGCCACAGCCACAGCAACGUGAGAUAUGAGCCAUGUCUGUGACUUACACCACAGCUUACAGCAAUGCCAGAUCCUUAACCCACUGAGCAAGGCCAAAGAUCAAACCUGGGUCCUCAUGGAUGCUAAUCAGAUUCAUUUCCACUGAGCCACAAUGGGAACUCCCUCUUGUAUUAAUUUCUAUCUCAUUUUAUCAAAGAUACCAAUUGGUUUACAGUGUUCUGUCAAUUUUCUACUGUACAGCAAAGUGACCCAGUCACACACACAGACAUAUAUACAUACAUUCUUUUUCGAACAUUAUCCUCCAUCGUGCUCCAUCACAAGUGACUAGAUAUAGUUCCCAGUGCUAUACAGAAGGAUCUCAUUGGAAGCCACUUUCAAUCAAGGACAGUGUUUAAAUAGAAAAGUAAAAGCCAUCUGUUUGCCAGCUAUCCAUGUAUUUACAUAUCUUUACCCAUCUGCAUUCCAUAAAAUCUGGGUCAGAAGUGUUUCUUGUUUUAUAAAACUAACAAUAAAUGUGAUAUAACGUUUGCUUAAAUAUGGAAAUUUUCAUCUGUUAUAUUGAACCGUAAAAUAAUUUGAAGAACUGACUAAAUUAGCACUGAAUUUUACCCAUUUUCCUGUGAAAUAACAACUCACUGGAAAAAGAGAAUAGUAUAAUGCAGCACCUGCAAAUCAUUCUUUUCAUUUGUGUUCCAAUUUUGCAAAUAAUUAGAUACACAUAUUGAAAAUGAAACAUAAUUUGUGGGAAAAUGUGUUUGCUAAGGUCAAAUCAUUUACCAAAUAUUUUAGGAGUAUAUUGUAUGAUUGUUUAGUAUAUGCUAAAGCGAGUGUGGUGUGAACAGACUAUACUAAAGGUCCAAGGUAUUUUGGUGAGUGAAUACAAAAAAUAUGUUUGAAAUUUUGAAGGAGGGGAUAUAACUUUCUUUAAAAAAAAAAAAAAAAAA
rnacentral:lncRNA from 1 species